GUCUUUGCUUCGGCAAGACAUAUACUAAAAUUGGAACGAUACAGAGAAGAUUAGCAUGGCCCCUACGUAAGGAUGACACGCAAAAUCGCAGCUAUUUAGCAAGACCAU
rnacentral:snRNA from 2 species